rnacentral:rRNA from 1 species
GACGAACGCUGGCGGCGUGCUUAACACAUGCAAGUCGAGCGGAAAGGCCACUUCGGUGGUACUCGAGCGGCGAACGGGUGAGUAACACGUGAGUAAUCUGCCCCUGGCUUUGGGAUAGCCACCGGAAACGGUGAUUAAUACCGAAUAUGACCACUUCUCGCAUGGGAUGGUGGUGGAAAGUUUUUCGGCCAGGGAUGUGCUCGCGGCCUAUCAGCUUGAUGGUGAGGUAAUGGCUCACCAUGGCUUCGACGGGUAACCGGCCUGAGAGGGUGACCGGUCACACUGGGACUGAGACACGGCCCAGACUCCUACGGGAGGCAGCAGUGGGGAAUAUUGGACAAUGGGCGGAAGCCUGAUCCAGCAACGCCGCGUGAGGGAUGACUGCCUUCGGGUUGUAAACCUCUUUCGGUGGGGACGAAGCGCAAGUGACGGUACCCACUAAAGAAGCACCGGCCAACUACGUGCCAGCAGCCGCGGUAAUACGUAGGGUGCGAGCGUUGUCCGGAAUUAUUGGGCGUAAAGGGCUCGUAGGCGGUUUGUCGCGUCGGGAGUGAAAACCAGGUGCUUAACACCUGGCUUGCUUUCGAUACGGGCAGACUAGAGGUAUUCAGGGGAGAACGGAAUUCCUGGUGUAGCGGUGAAAUGCGCAGAUAUCAGGAGGAACACCGGUGGCGAAGGCGGUUCUCUGGGAAUUACCUGACGCUGAGGAGCGAAAGUGUGGGGAGCGAACAGGAUUAGAUACCCUGGUAGUCCACACCGUAAACGUUGGGCGCUAGGUGUGGGGUCCAUUCCACGGAUUCCGUGCCGCAGCUAACGCAUUAAGCGCCCCGCCUGGGGAGUACGGCCGCAAGGCUAAAACUCAAAGGAAUUGACGGGGGCCCGCACAAGCGGCGGAGCAUGCGGAUUAAUUCGAUGCAACGCGAAGAACCUUACCUGGGUUUGACAUACACCCUGCCGCUCCAGAGAUGGGGCUUCUUUUGGGGGUGUACAGGUGGUGCAUGGCUGUCGUCAGCUCGUGUCGUGAGAUGUUGGGUUAAGUCCCGCAACGAGCGCAACCCUCGUUCUAUGUUGCCAGCACGUAAUGGUGGGGACUCAUAGGAGACUGCCGGGGUCAACUCGGAGGAAGGUGGGGAUGACGUCAAGUCAUCAUGCCCCUUAUGUCCAGGGCUUCACGCAUGCUACAAUGGCCGGUACAAAGGGCUGCGAUCCCGUGAGGGGGAGCGAAUCCCAAAAAGCCGGUCUCAGUUCGGAUUGGGGCCUGCAACUCGACCCCAUGAAGUCGGAGUCGCUAGUAAUCGCAGAUCAGCAACGCUGCGGUGAAUACGUUCCCGGGCCU